rnacentral:sRNA from 1 species
GCGGAGGCAGCGGCUCGGGGACUGGGCGAGGGCCCUGGGCCUGAGGAGGCGCGGCCGCCACUGCGCCCAGCGCCUGCGCGACGCCUGGCUGCUGGGCCCCGGGGCAGUUCAGCCGGCGUCGCUCCUGCGGGUCGGACUGGGGCUGUGGCGGGAGAGAAGAUGCCGCAGCCCGAGUCCCAGAAGGCGGCGAUCGUGGGCUGCGGGCAACGCGUGAAGUGACUCAGCCACUUAAGAAUGUGCCCAUCAAGGGGUCUGGGCCCCACGGACCAUCUCCAAAAAAAUUCUAUCCCCGUUUCACUCGAGGCCCAAGUCGAGUGCUCGAGCCACAGUUCAAAGCAAACAAAAUUGACGAUGUGAUAGACAGUCGUGUUGAAGAUCCAGAAGAAGGCCACUUGAAAUUCUCUUCUGAAUUAGAUGUAAAGAAAAGUUCUACCCACCUGACCUGCCAGCUGCUAGUAUUGUUAUCUGUUUCUAUAAUGAAGCGUUUUCUGCCUUGCUUCGGACAGUGCACAGUGUCAUAGACCGCACGCCGGCACACCUGCUUCAUGAGAUCAUCCUUGUGGAUGAUGAUAGUGACUUU